rnacentral:rRNA from 1 species
AUGCACGCUGGCGGCCUGCCUCAUCCCUGCAAGUCGCGCGCACAGACGAGGAGCUUGCUCCUCUGACGUUAGCGGCGGACGGGUGAGUAACACGUGGAUAACCUACCUAUAAGACUGGGAUAACUUCGGGAAACCGGAGCUAAUACCGGAUAAUAUAUUUAACCGCAUGGUUCAAUAGUGAAAGACGGUUUUGCUGUCACUUAUAGAUGGAUCCGCGCCGCAUUAGCUAGUUGGUAAGGUAACGGCUUACCAAGGCGACGAGGCGUAGCCGACCUGAGAGGGUGAUCGGCCACACUGGAACUGAGACACGGUCCAGACUCCUACGGGAGGCAGCAGUAGGGAAUGUUCCGCAAUGGGCGAAAGCCUGACGGAGCAACGCCGCGUGAGUGAUGAAGGUCUUCGGAUCGUAAAACUCUGUUAUUAGGGAAGAACAAAUGUGUAAGUAACUAUGCACGUCUUGACGGUACCUAAUCAGAAAGCCACGGCUAACUACGUG